GGUAAAGCUCUGAAAAUUCCCCAUCAUCAGCUCCUUUUGAAGUGACAGUGAAAUUUGUGUUCACACCAGCCAGCACCUUGAGCAAACCCUGGAACAGAGCAAAGAGAUGUGAUGAAACGCCUCCAAUCACCCAAAACUGCUCAUUUCUCCACCAGUCAUCUAUACCGACGCCACCCCACUGCAUCUCAAGGAUACCAGUUGCAGCUAUAGAUAUGAAGAGUGCCAUGAAUACAAUACUGGCAUAGUUGCUAAUCUCAGGCACAAUAAAUUUCCCAGUGAGAAGGCAGAUAGCUGGUAGGGUACAGUAAACAAGCAGGGGAAUGGAUGUCCAAGGAUAUACAACUGAAUUUAUGUAGGAAAAUCUUUCCAAUGAUUUCAAGCCGCCCCCAUAGCCAUACCAAAUAGGACAAUGUCUGCUCAAGAAAAUUUCAACAGACCCAAGGGCCCACCGAAGAACCUGGUGAAGACGAUCUGACAGAUUAAUAGGAGC
rnacentral:misc_RNA from 1 species